AGGGUUUGAUUCUGGCUCAGGAUGAACGCUAGCUACAGGCUUAACACAUGCAAGUCGAGGGGCAUCAGGAAGAAAGCUUGCUUUCUUUGCUGGCGACCGGCGCACGGGUGAGUAACACGUAUCCAACCUGCCCUUUACUCGGGGAUAGCCUUUCGAAAGAAAGAUUAAUACCCGAUGGGAUAAUUAUUCCGCAUGGUUUGAUUAUUAAAGGAUUCCGGUAAAGGAUGGGGAUGCGUUCCAUUAGGUUGUUGGUGAGGUAACGGCUCACCAAGCCUUCGAUGGAUAGGGGUUCUGAGAGGAAGGUCCCCCACAUUGGAACUGAGACACGGUCCAA
rnacentral:rRNA from 1 species